rnacentral:misc_RNA from 1 species
UCGCGGAGGCCAUCCGAGAGCACUAGCCGCGUUAGUGAAGUUGGCGGCUUCUAGUGAGUCCAAACAGAAAUGGUCUCGGGAUGUGUGUCUGGCACCGUUCCGACAAGCUGACCGAGCGAUCUGCGGCAUCAGUUGGCGGCGGACCCCGUUGCCCACGGUCAUCGACGACAGGCGAAACCGAUAUCGUCUACACUGCCGACAUCGUGGUGACGCCUGCCGUGGGGAGGUUUGUGGCUAUCUCUCCCGGCUUGAUCGCUCAACUCUGAUCU